rnacentral:rRNA from 1 species
AACGAACGCUGGCGGCAUGCCUAACACAUGCGAGUCGAACGAGACCUUCGGGUCUAGUGGCGUACGGGUGCGUAACGCGUGGGAACCUGCCCUUAGGUUCGGAAUAACUCCCCGAAAGGGGUGCUAAUACCGGAUAAUGUCUUCGGACCAAAGAUUUAUCGCCUUUGGAUGGGCCCGCGUUGGAUUAGCUAGUUGGUAGGGUAAAAGCCUACCAAGGCGACGAUCCAUAGCUGGUCUGAGAGGAUGAUCAGCCACACUGGGACUGAGACACGGCCCAGACUCCUACGGGAGGCAGCAGUGGGGAAUAUUAGACAAUGAGCGAAAGCCUGAUCCAGCAAUGCCGCGUGAGUGAUGAAGGCCUUAGGGUUGUAAAGCUCUUUUACCCGGGAUGAUAAUGACAGUACCGGGAGAAUAAGCACCGGCUAACUCCGUG